rnacentral:rRNA from 1 species
AUUGAACGCUGGCGGCAGGCCUAGCACAUGCAAGUCGAGCGGCAGCGGAAAGUAGCUUGCUACUUUGCCGGCGAGCGGCGGACGGGUGAGUAAUGUCUGGGAAACUGCCUGAUGGAGGGGGAUAACUACUGGAAACGGUAGCUAAUACCGCAUAACGUCGCAAGACCAAAGAGGGGGACCUUCGGGCCUCUUGCCAUCAGAUGUGCCCAGAUGGGAUUAGCUAGUAGGUGGGGUAACGGCUCACCUAGGCGACGAUCCCUAGCUGGUCUGAGAGGAUGACCAGCCACACUGGAACUGAGACACGGUCCAGACUCCUACGGGAGGCAGCAGUGGGGAAUAUUGCACAAUGGGCGCAAGCCUGAUGCAGCCAUGCCGCGUGUAUGAAGAAGGCCUUCGGGUUGUAAAGUACUUUCAGCGGGGAGGAAGGUGUUGAGGUUAAUAACCUCAGCAAUUGACGUUACUCGCAGAAGAAGCACCGGCUAACUCCGUGCCAGCAGCCGCCGCUG